rnacentral:tRNA from 3 species
GUGGUCGUAGCUCAACGGUAGAGCGUCGCCCUGUGGAGGCGAAUGUUGCGGGUUCAAAUCCCGUCGAUCACCCCC